AUUGAACGCUGGCGGCAGGCCUAACACAUGCAAGUCGAACGGUAACAGGAAGCAGCUUGCUGCUUCGCUGACGAGUGGCGGACGGGUGAGUAAUGUCUGGGAAGCUGCCUGAUGGAGGGGGAUAACUACUGGAAACGGUAGCUAAUACCGCAUAAUGUCGCAAGACCAAAGAGGGGGACCUUCGGGCCUCUUGCCAUCGGAUGUGCCCAGAUGGGAUUAGCUUGUUGGUGGGGUAACGGCUCACCAAGGCGACGAUCCCUAGCUGGUCUGAGAGGAUGACCAGCCACACUGGAACUGAGACACGGUCCAGACUCCUACGGGAGGCAGCAGUGGGGAAUAUUGCACAAUGGGCGCAAGCCUGAUGCAGCCAUGCCGCGUGUAUGAAGAAGGCCUUCGGGUUGUAAAGUACUUUCAGCGGGGAGGAAGGGAGUAAAGUUAAUACCUUUGCUCAUUGACGUUACCCGCAGAAGAAGCACCGGCUAACUCCGUGCCAGCAGCCGCGGUAAUACGGAGGGUGCAAGCGUUAAUCGGAAUUACUGGGCGUAAAGCGCACGCAGGCGGUUUGUUAAGUCAGAUGUGAAAUCCCCGGGCUCAACCUGGGAACUGCAUCUGAUACUGGCAAGCUUGAGUCUCGUAGAGGGGGGUAGAAUUCCAGGUGUAGCGGUGAAAUGCGUAGAGAUCUGGAGGAAUACCGGUGGCGAAGGCGGCCCCCUGGACGAAGACUGACGC
rnacentral:rRNA from 1 species